AUGCUUAAUAAGGUCUUGAGUUACUGCAGACAGUCCCUAUACUGUCAGCCAUCCCAUUCCUUCACAGGUUAUAGGCCAGUGAGGUGCCAAGCUAAAGAAGCAGCCACUUCAUACCGUUGCUUGACAUUUUCAUGCAACGCAGACUGCACAGAGGUGUCCAGUUAUUCCUGUUUUGUGAUGCUGAUCAACACUUUGAUGAUUGCUUGUCUUUCAGGAAAAGAACAACUUACAUCUACUUCAUCAUAUAUGUUAUUUCUGAUAUCAGUGCUGGCAGCAAGUCUCACGCUUUGUCUCUGCACAGUAAGCAUUUAUUUGAAAAAAAAAUCUGCCACAGUACUGCAGCCAAGAGACCCAUUCCAUGAGAUCUCUCCAAUGGAUUUUGAGAGAGAAUAUAAAAAUCAUUUGAUGAAGCAUGAAACUGAAGAAAUAACAAUUAUUGAAGAAAUGACAUAAUGGCAUGCAACAGAAUCGAGCAACUUGAAUUUUUCAAGCAUAUUAUCUUGUUGGCAGUAAUUUAUAGGUUUUUCUUAUUCUCUCCCUCUUGCAAGAACAGAAAAUAGUGUUGCCUAUAGAGAUGAAUCCCCAAGAACCUAUCUUUAAAAGCCUGUUUGUAUUUGAUUGAAUUUUCCAUAAAUAAUUUGAGUUCUUUGGGCUACUUUUGCUUCUUCUUACGAUGAGUAUUCUUGCAAUGUUUCAGCAAAAAUAUUUCAGUAGUGCUUUGGAAGUUCUUGUACUGCUCUUCAACAUCAUGUUAAAGAAUAAAAUAAAACCGACCAAACUUAAGGGUUUUAUA
rnacentral:lncRNA from 1 species